rnacentral:rRNA from 1 species
GUCAAUCUCCCCUUAGGGUCAAGAUAACCCCGGGAAACUGGGGAUAAUCUCGAAUAGGUGGGGAUUCUGGAAAGUUCCUCGCUGAAAUGUUUUGCGCCUAAGGAUGAGACUGCGGCCUAUUAGGUUGUUGGUGAGGUAAAGGCUCACCAAGCCACAGAUGGGUACGGGCCCUGAGAGGGGGAGCCCGGAGAUGGGGACUGAGACAAGGCCCCAGGCCCUACGGGGCGCAGCAGGUGCGAAAAUUCUGCAAUGCGUGCAAGCGCGACAGAGUGACUCCCAGUGCCGAUGGUCUAGCGACCGUCGGCUUUUCUGGAAUGUAAAAGUUUCAGGUAAUAAGGGCCGGGUAAGACUGGUGCCAGCCGCCGCGGUAACACCAGCGGCUCAAGUGGUAGCCGAUUUUAUUGGGCCUAAAGCGUCCGUAGCCGGACUAGCAAGUCUUUUGUGAAAUCGGACGGCUUAAUCGUUCGGCUUGCAGGGGAAACUGCCAGUCUUGGGAUCGGUAGGCGCCAAGGGUACUCCAGGGGUAGCGGUGAAAUGCUAUAAUCCCUGGGGGACCGCCAGUGGCGAAAGCGCUUGGCGAGGCCGAAUCCGACGGUGAGGGACGAAGGCCAGGGGCGCGAACCGGAUUAGAUACCCGGGUAGUCCUGGCUGUAAAGGAUGUGGACUAGGUGCUUGGUGUUCCUCGAGAACACUAGUGCCGAAGGGAAGCCGUUAAGUCCACCGCCUGGGAAGUACGGUCGCAAGGCUGAAACUUAAAGAAAUUGGCGGGGG